ensembl:lncRNA
ACAAGCACAAGUAGAACAUGUACAGGCAAAACAAGUACAGGUAGAACAGGCAGAACAAGUACAAGCACAAGUAUAACAUGUACAGGCAGAACAUGUACAAGGAAAACAAGUACAGGCAGAACAUGUACAAGCAGAACAAGUACAGGCAGAACAAGUACAAGUAGAAUAUGUACAGGCAGAACAUGUACAAGCAGAACAAGUACAAGUAGAACAUGUACAAGCAGAACAAGCACAGGUAGAACAGGCAGGACAAGUACAAGCACAAGUAGAACAUGUACAGGCAGAACAUGUACAGGCAGAACAUGUACAAGCAGAACAAGUACAUGUAGAAAAUGUACAGGCACAAUAUGAACAAGCAGAAUAUGUACAAGCAGAACAAGAACAUGUAGAACAUG